UACGGAGGGGGCUAGCGUUGUUCGGAAUUACUGGGCGUAAAGCGCGCGUAGGCGGACCUGCAAGUCGGGGGUGAAAUCCCGAGGCUCAACCUCGGAACUGCCUUCGAUACUGCGGGUCUCGAGUCCGGGAGAGGUGAGUGGAAUUCCUAGUGUAGAGGUGAAAUUCGUAGAUAUUAGGAAGAACACCAGUGGCGAAGGCGGCUCACUGGCCCGGUACUGACGCUGAGGUGCGAAAGCGUGGGGAGCAAACAGG
rnacentral:rRNA from 1 species